GACGAACGCUGGCGGCGUGCUUAACACAUGCAAGUCGAGCGGAGCGGCGAAGGGGUGAGUAACGCGUGAGUAAAUGCCCCCCUCUCUGGGAUGACAGUUGUAAACGGCUGCUAAUACCUGAUAGUGGGGGAUGAAUCGCGUCCAAUCAGCUUGUUGGUGGGGUAGUGGCCUAGCAAGGCGACGACGGGUAGCCGGCCUGAGAGGGGGACCGGCAACAUGGGUCUGAGAGACGCACCAAACUCCUACGGGGGGCAGCAGGGGGAAAUAUUGCACAAUGAGGGAAACCCUGAUGCAGCAGCGCCGCGUGCGGGAUGACGGCCUACGGGUGGUAAACCGCUUUCAGCCAUGACGCGGUACUGGCAGAAGAAGCACCGGCUAACUACGUGCCAGCAGCCGCGGUAAUUC
rnacentral:rRNA from 1 species